AACCAUCGGUCCAUACAGUUGUCCAUGUACCAGUAGAAGAUCCGGCAGCUACCGCGGCCCCUGCUUCUUCAGGUGGAACUCCAGGUUGAGGAGUUACUCGGAAUGCUGCCAAUAUAUCAGUAUCCUUGGUUUGGUACUCUGCUUCUUCAGGUGGAACUCCAGGUUGAGGAGUUACUCGGAAUGCUGCCAAUAUAUCAAUAUCCUUGGUUUGGUACUCGGGAGUAUAACAAGUCAAGUUGCACUCUUUAACACCAGCAUUGAAUCCAACACUUGCUUUAGUCUCUGUUUGU
rnacentral:lncRNA from 1 species